rnacentral:rRNA from 1 species
UUGGAAACAUUGUUUGCAGGCUCAGAUGCUGAUGACUUGGAGCACGACGAAUUGGAAGACUCAAGUCACGAAAACUAUGUCGACCAUGAUCCAUUUGACUAUGUGUACUCAAACCUGCCAGCCAACACACACAUCCUGAAGCACGCCGCGAACUGCGACCACUGCAAGGCCAAGAAGUUUGUGAGCGAGGCCCCAUGAUUCUGCUGUCGCAGUGGGCAGAUCGAGCUGAAGCAACUGGAGCCCAUCCCGGAGCUCAUGAGGCUUUGGUCUAGCACUGAUGCGGAUGCUAGGCAUUUUCGGGAGAACAUACGGUUUUUCAACGGACACUUCUCCUUCACAACCCUCGGCGUCAGCCUCGAUGAAACAUACACAAACAUGAAGUCUGGGGUGUACACGUUCCGGGCGCACGGCACCAUCUACCACAAUGUUCAUUCCUUCGGGCCAACAUCCCGUCCAGAUCAUCUACAGUUGUACUUCUACGACGACGACCCAGGCCUAACCCAUCGCAAGGCUGCCACCGAGCAAUUAGACCAGGAUGUCGUCAAAAAGUUGGUGCACAUACUCAGGGAAAACCCGUACUCUCAGCAGUUUAGGAGUUUGGGUGCGCACAGGGACAACCUCGACGAUUACAGGAUAGACCUCAACACUGACCAGAGACUAGACCAACGGAAGUAUAAUAGACCUCUGUCAUCUGAGGUCGCUGCAAUUUGGGUUGAGGGCACUGACCUAGCGAAGAGGUUCGAUCGUAGGAUUACACUUUGUGGGAACGACAACCAGAGGCACAGUAUACAUGUGACGGCUGGCUCGUAUGACCCGCUCUCUUACCCACUCUUCUACCCAAGGGGGGAGCUCGGUUGGCACCCGAAACUACCUAAACGUAAUGUCCCUUGGCCGGUUGUGCAACAACCAAGAGGUGGACGUGAUGAUGAUGAUGAUGAUGAUGCAGGUAAGCCUUAUGCGUAUUCUGUCGUUUUGAUGUAUUGUGUAGUUCUCAUAUGA